ensembl:lncRNA
ACAUUUUUCCUUGGUUCUCAUGCAUCGGGAGAACUUUGACUCUCAGAGUGAUGCUAUAGGUAUCAAAACUUGAGAAACGUUAGAAUUAUAUUCCUCAGUUCCUCAGUGAAGUAUGAUUUACUUCUGCUGAGAUCACGGAAUUCAUAGUGGUAAUACUUGUUUUGUUCCACCAUUCCUAAAAGCUUACCUGUAGGUCUUUAGGUAGGAAAGAGCAGAACAUCCUUUACUUUGCCGUGCUAGUGUUUACCACAUCUUCUGUCUAAAUGUUGGAGUUCAACAUGCAAACUGCUAAUAUACUCUAACAGCAUUUUGCAGAUUAUAAGAUUAUUUUUGUAACCCUUGUUUGCAUGUGAGUUUAAUACUAGUAUCUCUGGUAGUUUCUUCAUGUUGCACUUAUUAGACACAAAUCAUCAUCAAAGAGUGUGUUGUGUGGGCAGGAGACCUGGCUCUUGACUGAUAAGCUGCAAUUGGAAUUCUCUUCCCAGAGCCAACAGAGAUGAUUAUUAAUUGUAAUUAUUUGAAUAUUUUUUCCAUGUCACUGGAAUAAUAAAGUUAAAGUUUAAGGAAACAGAUUCUGAUCUGGUAGGAGUCAGUAGCAGCUUUCAGCUGGGUAGUCAGUAUACUGUGACAAAUUCUAUCGUUGCAGCAACAUUGAGCUCUCUAUGCAGCUCUCUCUUCUUUUGUGGUGGGUUUUUAAGCUAUGGACUAAUUUAGACCAUUGGUACCCAAGCAUCUCAGCUGGCCAAUGUGCUCCCAUCUUUUUCUUCGGUUAUAUUUCCUCCAGACUGUUCCUGGACAUCAACUCUAGACAGUUUCUUGGAUAACAGGUAUUCCUAUACUGAGUAGAACUGUGAUUCUUCUGUGGAUGUUCUAUUCUAUACAUAUACCUAUGUCCAACUUUGUAUUUCCAGCUGUCUCUAACUAGCUUACCAUUGCUGACAGAUGUUUUUUUUUUUUUCCUUAUUACCUCUCCCCUAUUUCCUCCUUUAUUUGGGGGAUAUAUACUUUAUUUUUCACCAUGUCUUUCAGUUAUGUCCAAAUAAAGUAAUUUCUCUGCUUUGCUUUUUCCCUUCCCUUCCCCUUUUUCUUUUCCUUGUUUUUUCCUCUUCACUUUGCUUCAGUUCAGUUGGAAACAUUUGCCAUCUUUCUUAAUAUGUUAUUUCUCAUUCUUCCAGCUCAUUUAGGGAAUUAUUAAAGAAUAGAAAUGAUCAACAUGAUCCCCUUGUUAUUGCAAAAGAUGUCAGCUUGGCAUACUGCUAGUCCUCAUUGUCUUUGGUUUACAUUCAAUUAGCCAGUCUUUGGAUCUGUCCAAUCCAAUUUAAAUUAACAUUUCAAUUACUCUUUCAUGAAAGAGAGUAAAUGCUUCAUUAAAUUACACGCCUUAUUAAAAUAGCCAUCAACAUCUGUAAAUAAGCUUUCUGACAUAUUAUACAACAUAAAUGAUUUUUCACUAUCACAAAAAUACCUAAAGUACCUACCAUUUUAAGUAGGCUAGAAUUUAAAAUGUUAGGUUCUUAAUACUGUCUGUAUGAGGAGACAAAAUGCUGUCUGUAUGAGGAGAUAAUAAACUGAUUCAAGAGCUGCAUAGUCUCAGAUUUCCUGAAAACAUUUCUGUGUGUUUUAGAGAAAUGGAGCACUUGAGUUUCUCUCAAAUCACAAAUGAUAGAGCACUGUGCUUGUUGCUGAAGAAGGACAGAACAAAAAGAUAUCUCAGUGCCCCUAGAUAUUAAAAUGAAAACAUACCACUAAUGGAGGGUGGAUCAGGGUUCACGGCAGCCUGAAAUUUUUUGCCACUUCCCACAAGGCAACUUCUGCUGUCACGUGCAAUGAUACAGUGCCCUUGUGAUGUUGAUGAGAUAGCAUGAGUGUUUCUGACAGCUAUGUACUGAACAGAAUGCGGGAAAUGAACCAUAAUUUAUAACUAGUCUUAUAUUCAAGUUCCCAUAGCAUAUGAUGAAUGGAUUCACUGCAAUUUGGACUCUUUUACUAGAUGUUUGUAAUUUUUGGAGUUCUCUCUUCUUCAAGCCACAAUCUAGUCAUUCCCUUAUGCAUGUGUAUUACUUUUAAGGAUGAAUUUCUGUACAUCUGCAUUCAGAAAAGUACUUACAAUUUGUCCCUAACUCUAAGAUGAGUAAUAACUGUGGAAAGCCAGCAAUCAAAUAAUGUUUCAUCUUACAGCAACCAGGAAUGAGCUUAAACAUCAUGUAACGCUUGUCAGCCUUCUUGGCUCUCAGUAAAGAAAACCAAAUCUUUUCCUUUUUCUAUUCCCUCACCACAUAUUUUAACUUGAACAUGCCUUUCCUUCUGUCCUUUUUGCCCACAAGACAGAACCUGGUAAAACAACUGUCAGUAGCUCUGUUCAGGGCAGAGCAAUGUCUCUGCUUCAGUAACUGCAGUGCAGACUUCAAAUUAUGACACAAAAAUGUUUUAGAACGAUAAGAUGAAAAAUAUCUAUUUUUUAUUGGCUGUUUACAUGGUUGCUAUACUUAAUAUUACACUAUAAUGUUUGCUUUCAGCCACUGUUCAGCUGUAUACAUAUAUUUUGACCUUGAUGACAGAAAAAAUUCUCAAAAAGCCUAGUCAUAAAUUAACAUUGAAAAGGUGUAGGUGACUUUUUCUUUUUUUUUUUUAUUUCAAACUCUACAGCCACCUAUGCUGUAAAUAUAUUUGUUGGACAACCAUUUCAGCAGUGCUGCAAUGUGCAAGUACUUGCAAAUUUGAGACAGAAGUAAGAUGACAAGAGCUGCCAUGGAGAUUGUAAAAUAUUUAUUAAUACAAUAAUAGUACUUUCUCUUGGAUCAUAUUUAUAAUUUAAAUUGUAUACCACAAAGGUACCUUCGUCCUUUAAAGAAGAUCAGAAAAUUUCAGUUUAGAUACAUGCUGUAUAUUCCUAAAUAGCUUAAUUUACUUCGUAUGUAGGCAACAUAAUUUGAUCUUUAAAUUUAAAAAGACAUUUCUUCUUAUAUUCCCGAAUAAUGCAUUUGGGUAUAUUCACUUUUGUUGGUAGAAUAGUGUUCACAGACAGCUGAACUUCAAGUUUUUUAUAAAACUUGCCUUAGUUAUAGAAUUUGAAAAGAAUGGAGAGAAUAUAUCUUUCCAUAUUUGAAUCUUCAGAGAGUUUGAUACAAUUUUCAAGUGCCAGUGAAAAAAAAAAAAAGCUCCUAAAUGAAAUGUAUGUUAGAGCCAUUUUGAAAGUCUGAAAUUUGUAGUUGCUGUUCUACAUCUACCACAGACUCACUAUGUAAUUUUGUGCAGGUGAUUUGGGGCUAGUUUCUUCCAUUCUUACCUGUGAAAUACCUUAAGGGGUGCUUAAUAUUUUUCAAUUUCCAUUCUUUACAAUUAGGUUUAUAAUUCUUAACAUUGGUCUGUACAUAGCAUUGAUGAUGAGAUUGGAGGAGACCAUGCAGCAACUGAACUCUCUCUGCUUUUGAUCUUUUAUUUGUCUUUCAAUACUGUACUGCUGAUGGGUAGAGGAGGUGAACAUAAUCUACUUUCAGACCUUCACAAAAUCUUCACUAUCCUACACUGUAAGCCUGUUCUGAAACUUUAUAUGUACAAAGACCUUGGAGAAAAAAAUAUCUGUAAAGGACUAGGCUUUCUUUGACUAAGCUAAAUUCUUAUUGCAGUGUGGACAUGCUAUGGCUCACUGUAGGCUCUUGUCAUUUGUCCAGGAUGUUAUGAUGUGGAAUACCAAUAGCAAAGUUACAAAACCAUGACAGCUCUCCACUGUAGCACAGCUCAGGCACAUUUAUAUGACAUAGAGAUGUGAAUUAUUGGCCUAUAGCAAGCCUGCAGAUAAAUGCAGAACCUCAGUUCCUUGUACCUGUGAUUUGAUCAAGUACUCAGUCUCUAUUAAGCAGCGGAAAUUGCUUUUAAGCUAUUUCUUGAAAUGGGGAAAUGAAAGAUGCUCAUAAACUGCUUCUAGGAAGAGCAGCACUAAGUUUGAGGUAGCAUGGAUGAGCCUACCAGACUGGUUUGAGUACAUCUGGAUUUGUUAUUUUUCGCGUUCUUUGUUAAUCAUGAUCUCGUUAUGAGUGACUUUGUCUUAAAUUUUAAUGCUCUAUCUGAACUGCAGAUGAGUUUCAGCUUGAAUGAGGAGGGGAUAGCAGCAGUAGAAUAAGCAUAGUUGUUUAUCUAUUUUUUUUUUUGUCAAUUUCUUCUUCACUUUAAUGUUUUUCUUUUAAAAUGACCUGCUAGUUAGUAUGCAAGGACAUUUACUGUGUAUCAUGGCAUCAGCAAGACAGUUAUGAAAAACAGCUAGAUUAAAUUGUCAAUUUAGAGACCAGAUUGCAAUCAGAAUUUGAUUUUGUGUCACUUUUUUUUUUUUUUUUUUUUUUUUUUUUUUUUUUAAGAACAGACUGGUGGUAACCUUCAGGAGUUGUAACAGCAGCAUGUGCUUGGAUCAAAAAAGAGACUUGAGCUCUGUUCUUAAAUAACAGGCAAGUUCAGCUCUUGUUUACACGCAUGAGACUUUUACUGACAAUGAUGAGCUUAGAGAUGUAUAUACUACUCACGCAGAAUACAUAAUCAAGACUGGAAACUAAUAAUUCUGAGACACCAGCUUUUAAAAAGACAGGAUUUAGAUGUGUUUGUGAUUACGGUGAUAUUUUAAACAAUUCUCAUAAUAAAGUGCUCUGCAUGUGUGAGUAUUGCUUACUGACUGAAAGGUAGAUCACAAACGUGUAUGUGGGAUCUCACACCUGGCAGAAAACCAUUUUGUUGUCUCCUAUCUGCAGCCCUGUUUGGGCAUGCUUCAUUAGCUCCACCUGUGCAGGAGAAGUAGAGGAAAGAGUCCUGAGACAAAUCUGGAUCUUGGGGUAAAGUCUGUAUUGAUCUGUAGGUUGUAAAACUCUUUCUCCUGUAGUCUGUGAAAAUUCAGAACAGAAGCAACAAUCAAAGGAAGAAAAGCUUAUUUUUACAAAAUAGGAUUUUAAAAUCUUUCAUUGUAAUCCUAGACGGGCUUUGUUCUGACUGACUGCUAGGAUCAGAUUUACGCCAACUUUGGGGGAGUCCCAGUGGGGCAAAAUUGUUGCUUAACCUGGUAGAUAGCUUCCAGUAAUGGAUAGUUUAUAUAAAAUGGGAAUGUUUGGAUCAUUAAAUCUUAACUUGGAUUUUUUUUGCUAAGGAGCCACGUCCAGGCUCCAUUAACAUUUCAUCUUAUAAGCUUCUGUAAUUAGUUUCCUGUGAAAUUCUUACUUUGCCAUAGUCCUUUCUUUGUCCUUUCAAAACAAAAUUGUUAAAGAAUUUAAACAAUGGACUAUAGAUAAUUUGUUUGAAAUCAAGGAACAGCUUUACACCUUCAUGUCCAAGAGAGGCAAAAGACCUGAAAUACUGCAGGACAUAGAUGUGCCACCUGUUCCUCGGUGUCCUCUAUACUCAAGGAAUUGUGUACAAGAAUCUUGGUGUGACUGUCUAAAGGCAAAUAAACAAGAUUUAACAUGCAUUGUGACUUUAGAAAUUGGAAUAAUGAUAAAAACUUUCAGAAAACUAACAUGAACUUUAUUUAGUAGUAAUGUUAUUUUUUAGCUUCUGGGAACAGCGUUUCUUUUUGUCAUGUAAUCUGGAAUAUUUCAACCAUGUAAUCCUAUGU